GCAGAGCGGUGUCCCCAGCGCCUGUGCUUGGCCAGCGGCUGGUCUGCGCACGGCCUGGGCCUGCGCUCACUCCGCACCAAGAGCUUCCCUAGCCCGGGAGGCGGGGCCGACCCACCCUGUCUCCGCCCCGCCGCCCGGCCCAGGGGGACUCGCUGCCGGCCCGGGCCUAGACCGCGCGCCACGGCCGGGGUUGUGCGCUCUGGCUGCGGACCGAGCGCCGGGCUAGGGAGACCAGCGGCUGGCGCUGGGCCGCAUGGAGCUGCUGGCGCUGCACACGCGGCGGCGGCGGGGGGCGCUGCUCUCGCAGGAGCCGGGAGCCCCGGAGCGCAAACGAGUAUGCAAGAGUUUAGAGACUGUUCCAAACGAGAGUGAUUUUUGCCACCAAUUAAAUGAAUGUGCUAUGGAUUACUGGAGUAUGGAGCUGGAUUCAAAACAGAAAGAUACCACAGAACAAUUUAUUCCUCGGACUCCUAAGGAAAAGCCAAAUUCAGUGAUUUUUCAAAAUCAUGGAAGCAAAGGUACUGCCCAGCCUUGCCCAAGAUGUAUUGCAGGAGAAUCUGUCUGCACUUAAAAGUGUAGAGAGGACAGGAUUCAAGCUUAAACUGGUUAGCUAAUACAGGAAGAGGCAAGGGACACUUCAACCAUAUUAUGGGCUUCUAGAAGAAGAGAGCCUGCAAACCAGCAAUGUUCAGUUUCUGUUUUUAAAACAUAAGAACAUGCAUGUGGAAAUGCCGUACAGCUGGAUUUCUGUACACACCCUUUCAAUUAAUGUGGAUCUAGAUUUAUUAUACAUUAUGUAAAAUUUUGUGCGUUAUGUUGUAUUUUGAAUACAAAAAUCCAUAUUCCUUUGUUUUUAUAGUUUAAGAAGUUAUUAGUUCAAAUAACUUCCAUCUUGAUCCUUCCUUCCUACUUCCUCCCCAGGGCCCGUCAUGCAGGCUAGUGUUUCAUUCAGACAUAGGUGUUUUUAGUAGUGGGUAAAGAAAGUCACGAAAGUAGGUCUGAUUUUGCUUUGUUAUAAGAGUUUAGUUAGCCCAGUGUUGGUCCAAUCCUGCAAACCCGUAGUCCUCUUGCUCCACUUUCUGUUCCUUUUGGGCACCUAUUGGGACACUAGUACUGACCAUCCUUGUGCUCAGAUGAGAACAGGGACUGCAUUUGUGGCCCAGCUUUUUCUAGAAGCCCGUACAGAGUGACAAAGCAGAGGUUCUCUUUACACACACACACAGAGCCCUUGUACGCCUGCACAGAGGCCAAUAACAAUCUGGUCUUAAGCUUGCACUUCUUUGUUACUCACCAAAAACAUAUCCCCCAUCCAUUUUGAAGAACUUUCCACUUGUUUAUAAAUGAACACAGUUUUACACACACACCUAUCUCUGAAAGAGAAAUACUAUUUUUGCAACGUUCCAGCAUGUGAAAUUGAAUGGUAGCACCUGUGCUAUGCAGUUCCCUGUUCAAAGCUGCCAAGGACACAACCAGUUUGCCACUGUUUGCCUCUAGUAGGGAAGACUCACUUGUUUUCCAGUUGUUGGUUUGGUUUUUGGAUCUUGGCCACUGCUGAAAUUGUUUGAACAUUAUUUUAAAUCUCUAUUUCUUGGCAGUAUUAAUUAUUUAUAUUUCAUUUUUAUCAUUUAUAAUAAAAAGUUUUCAGGAAAUCUAAGAUAGGGCUCAAUAAUGCCAGCAGAGUGAGGAUGAGGGGUAGGUGCACUGGCCAUGGGGUUGCUCUGGGAGGAAUUCACUAGUAGAAGGUUCUGGAGCAGAGGAGGUAUACCCAGAAUAUUGGGCUCCUGCCUGGGAGGCUGAUAGGCAUAGGGCCCAAACUCUUUCAACUCUCUUUUGCUGUUUCAUACCCCAGAAGGUGCACACAGAGAAAUCUCUGAGCUACAGUUGUGCCUCGCUGCUGCUCAAGGGAGGGCUUUCUUUAAGCAGCCAAUCAAACAGUUUAGCCCAAAACAAAGAUUAUGGGCCAGAUCUUUCACUCUAGUUAACCUAUGAUCAACACAGGACCCAAAGGCCUGGUCUACACUACGGGGGAGGGUGGGUGUCGAACUAAGGUACGCGACUUCAGCUACGCGAA